rnacentral:rRNA from 1 species
GAUGAACGCUGGCGGCGUGCCUAAUACAUGCAAGUCGAGCGAACGGACGAGGAGCUUGCUCCUCUGAUGUUAGCGGCGGACGGGUGAGUAACACGUGGAUAACCUACCUAUAAGACUGGGAUAACUUCGGGAAACCGGAGCUAAUACCGGAUAAUAUUUUGAACCGCAUGGUUCAAAAGUGAAAGACGGUCUUGCUGUCACUUAUAGAUGGAUCCGCGCUGCAUUAGCUAGUUGGUAAGGUAACGGCUUACCAAGGCAACGAUGCAUAGCCGACCUGAGAGGGUGGUCGGCCACACUGGAACUGAGACACGGUCCAGACUCCUACGGGAGGCAGCAGUAGGGAAUCUUCCGCAAUGGGGGAAAGCCUGACGGAGCAACGCCGCGGGAGUGAUGAAGGUGCUCGGAUCGUAAAACUCUGUUAUUAGGGAAGAACAAAUGUGUAAGUAACUGUGCACAUCUUGACGGUACCUAAUCAGAAAGCCACGGCUAACUACGUG